UCUGGGACAAGCCCUGGAAACGGGGUCUAAUACCGGAUAACACUCCCGCACUCCUGUGCGGGGGUUAAAAGCUCCGGCGGUGAAGGAUGAGCCCGCGGCCUAUCAGCUUGUUGGUGAGGUAAUGGCUCACCAAGGCGACGACGGGUAGCCGGCCUGAGAGGGCGACCGGCCACACUGGGACUGAGACACGGCCCAGACUCCUACGGGAGGCAGCAGUGGGGAAUAUUGCACAAUGGGCGAAAGCCUGAUGCAGCGACGCCGCGUGAGGGAUGACGGCCUUCGGGUUGUAAACCUCUUUCAGCAGGGAAGAAGCGAAAGUGACGGUACCUGCAGAAGAAGCGCCGGCUAACUACGUGCCAGCAGCCGCGGUAAUACGUAGGGCGCAAGCGUUGUCCGGAAUUAUUGGGCGUAAAGAGCUCGUAGGCGGCUUGUCACGUCGGGUGUGAAAGCCCGGGGCUUAACCCCGGGUCUGCAUUCGAUACGGGCUAGCUAGAGUGUGGUAGGGGAGAUCGGAAUUCCUGGUGUAGCGGUGAAAUGCGCAGAUAUCAGGAGGAACACCGGUGGCGAAGGCGGAUCUCUGGGCCAUUACUGACGCUGAGGAGCGAAAGCGUGGGGAGCGAACAGGAUUAGAUACCCUGGUAGUCCACGCCGUAAACGGUGGGAACUAGGUGUUGGCGACAUUCCACGUCGUCGGUGCCGCAGCUAACGCAUUAAGUUCCCCG
rnacentral:rRNA from 1 species